GACGAACGCUGGCGGCGUGCUUAAAACAUGCAAGUCGAACGGACUUCUCAUGAAGCUUGCGAUUGAGAAGUUAGUGGCGGACGGGUGAGUAACGCGUGGGCAACCUGCCCCUGAGCCCGGGAUAACAGUUCGAAAGGACUGCUAAGACCGGAUAUACUUGCGGGGAAGCAUUUCACUGCAAGGAAAGGGAACGCUCAGGGAUGGGCCCGCGUCCCAUUAGCUAGUUGGUGAGGUAACGGCCCACCAAGGCGACGAUGGGUAGCCGGCCUGAGAGGGUGAACGGCCACACUGGGACUGAGACACGGCCCAGACUCCUACGGGAGGCAGCAGUUGGGAAUCUUCGGCAAUGGGCGCAAGCCUGGACCGAGCAACGCCGCGUGAGUGAUGAAGGUUUUCGGAUUGUAAAGCUCUGUCUUCCGGGACGAUAAUGACGGUACCGGAGGAGGAAGCCACGGCUAACGUACGUGCCGAGCAGCCGACGGUAAACACUACUCGUA
rnacentral:rRNA from 1 species